rnacentral:piRNA from 1 species
UUGUCCACCAGCGCACCUCAGGAGUA